rnacentral:rRNA from 1 species
GAUGAACGCUGGCGGCGUGCCUAAUACAUGCAAGUCGAGCGAACGGACGAGAAGCUUGCUUCUCUGAUGUUAGCGGCGGACGGGUGAGUAACACGUGGAUAACCUACCUAUAAGACUGGGAUAACUUCGGGAAACCGGAGCUAAUACCGGAUAUUAUUUUGAACCGCAUGGUUCAAAAGUGAAAGACGGUCUUGCUGUCACUUAUAGAUGGAUCCGCGCUGCAUUAGCUAGUUGGUAAGGUAACGGCUUACCAAGGCAACGAUGCAUAGCAGACCUGAGAGGGUGAUCGGCCACACUGGAACUGAGACACGGUCCAGACUCCUACGGGAGGCAGCAGUAGGGAAUCUUCCGCAAUGGGCGAAAGCCUGACGGAGCAACGCCGCGUGAGUGAUGAAGGUCUUCGGAUCGUAAAACUCUGUUAUUAGGGAAGAACAUAUGUGUAAGUAACUGUGCACAUCUUGACGGUACCUAAUCAGAAAGCCACGGCUAACUACGUG